GCCCGGGUGGUGGAAUUGGUAGACACGAUGGACUUAAAAUCCAUUGAUCAGUAAUGGUCGUGCGGGUUCAAGUCCCGCCCCGGGUA
rnacentral:tRNA from 1 species